UACGUAGGGACCAAGCGUUGUCCGGAAUCAUUGGGCGUAAAGAGCGUGUAGGCGGCUUGUUAAGUCUUGCGUGAAAUCUCGGGGCUCAACCCCGAGCGGUCGUGAGAAACUGGCAGGCUAGAGUGCGGGAGAGGAGAGUGGAAUUCCUGGUGUAGCGGUGGAAUGCGCAGAUAUCAGGAGGAACACCGGUGGCGAAGGCGGGUCUCUGGGCCAUUACUGACGCUGAGGAGCGAAAGCGUGGGGAGCGAACAGG
rnacentral:rRNA from 1 species